GCCAGAGUAGCUCAGUUGGUAGAGCAACUCACUUGUAAUGAGUAGGUCGGGGGUUCGAAUCCUCUCUCUGGCUCCA
rnacentral:tRNA from 1 species